UUGGUUUUUCAAUCAAGCUUUUAAUGAAAAGAUCAUAAAAUAACAGUUUAUUUUCUUCCUCACCGCUGUACAUUAAGACUGCAAGGUUGUGAGUUCUGAGGUCAGCUGUAUUACACUUUGACACGUUUGAGUUGUAGUGAGUUCUAGUGAGCGCCUGGACGAUGCACACCGACGACUCUGACCUGAAUACAAGUUCUCUGAGGAGCAGGGAUACGAGAGAGAGAGGGAGACAGAGUGAGAGAGAGGGAGAGAGAUGGGUGCCUGGGUGUCGCCACAUGGCCACAAGGGGCGAUGACAGAAUCACACACCUUGAAUACCGGUAAGAUCAAUAGCAGAAAAGCAUAUUUAAAAAAUGUUGCUUAACCUAUGUCGCGCUGAUGGAAUGCAAACGUGGCAUGCACAAGAUCCCGUGUGAGGCAAGUAUCCAUGCGUAUUUGCAUGAAUACAGGCAAAAGGUGUAUCUUGGUGUGGGUGCUCCUUUGCAUGUGAAGUGUAUUUGCAAAAAGGAAGGAGAGGAGGAGGGGGGCUUGUUGGCUCUCAAUUAUUCAUAGGCCAAGAACCUAUAUGUCCGUUCCAGAGCCUCUCAGCCCGUGGAUCCUGAUCCAUUAUUGAGUGACUGCUCAUGAAGAAAGUGGAACAGGGAGGAAGCUUGAUGCCAACUCUAUGGAAAGCCCCUUCAUCAACUUUUCAAGUACUAGUUUAGCAGCUAUUCGUAUCUUCGCUCUUACAAAAAAGGCGACUACUCCAAAAAUCACUGAACCUAUUUAUUUUGAAUGACUCCUCAACACACACACACACACUGUCCAAGAGAAAAUAAAAUAUUUUGGUUACAGCCGGACGGUAAAAAUAAAAUUAAAAGCUCAUAAAUGCUGCCGGGCGUAAUGGCAAGGUUAUGGUAUUGCUGAGAACACUGAGGGUUCAGAGGUCAUUUGGUGCUUUGGGUGCAGUUCAAUUCUGCACAAGAUCAUUAGAGGUACUGUUAGUUUCUUUACAACGCAUGUAAGCAGGAUGGGGAGGAGAGACUUUGGGUGAGGCAUAGGAUAAGUGACAGUAAAGCAUGGGCCUUUUUUGUGUCCAGAGUUUUGGGCAUACAGCCAAUCAUACUUGAGGGCAUUUCUUUGCCGUCCACAAGUAGUAUCUGGAUAGACCAGCCCGUCAACCCUAGCAAAAAGCCCGGAGCACAGAGCCGUUUGCCUCGGGAAGGGUACAGAAAGCAUAGGAGAUAAGUUACUUGUGUAACUUCCAGAGCUUGAGACAGUCUCCUUUGUGUAUAUUGAUUUUUGUUUUGUUUUAAAGCUUUGGUAACACUGCACAAGGAUAUGUCGUUUCGGACAGAGGGUGAUGGUCAGGGAGGGGGAGAGAGAAUGGUUUAUGUGAAGUGGCGGGAGCGCAUCCGGGAUUACUCUGAGGCUUUUCAAAACAUACAAAGUGCACUUAGUAAAGCUAUCUCAACCCCAUGUUUUUAAAUACCCCCCUCGACGUAAUAACUAAAAGGUGACACUCAAAAAGGAACAGCACGAGAAACUAGUGGUAACUGGUAUGCUAAUAAAAACAUCCCCGAAAGAGAACAAAUAGAAGGAUGAGACCGACGUCAUAAAAGAGAUCGCCGUCCAAGGAAGAAGGUGAGGUGAUGUAUUUGACUUCUGUCACGUGUGAGAUCCUAAUUGGCAAAAAUGUGGCAACACCCAGGUUGAGCAUAUUUGAGAACAUAGAGUAGGCUCCGUUUCUUAUGCACAGACAGGUUACCAUGUCCCGCCGGCGCACACAAACACACACACACACACACACACACACACACAGGAAAUUAACAUCCCUACCAUUCUUUCAUAUAAAACGGAGAAGCAUGGUAUUAAAUGACGUACGCCAUUUUCUUUGAAUAUAUGUGACAAAACCAAAAAACAAUUUCAUCUUCCAAUCCCUCCCCCUACCACGAAAAAUAAACAGAUUGUGGUAAAUGGCUGUAUGCGUGUCUCAUUUUUUGAUUCUCAGCUUGAAAUCUUCAAAAACAGAAAUAAAAUAAAAUAAAAUAAUAAGGGGGGUGUCCCGUGUCCGCCUCAGUCUCCACACUGAGAUCAUUAUUUACAGAGGGGAGGGCGGGACCAAAAAUAAAUACAUUCAUCACUGACAACAAUAGACAUUUGAUAAAAAAAAAAAAACACUGUCAAUAAGUGUUUGCACCAACUUUGAAUGAGGCCCGGCCAACCAGAUGCUUGAGCUGCUGCUACACAGAAAACACAGGCAGCUUGAAAAUAACUAAAGAAAAAAAUAAGGAUUUCAAAACAUCAUAAAAGUCAGAGAAAAAGACACAAACAUUCACAGUUAAGACUAGCGGAAAUAAUGUCUACAUGCAAUGUAAGAGCACAACGCUACCAACUCCGGCUGGGCUGGGACAACAGGUCCGGCCCUCCAGGAUCGCCCACAGCUUUAAGACUCCCAGGAGGAGGAGAAGGGGGGGGGGAAAUCGGGCUCACUCUAUUUGGGUAAACACGGAGAGAGCCAUCUAUCCAGAGAAACUGACUAACAAUGCCUUUUGAUUAAUACGUCAAGGACACACUGCCAACCCACCCCCCGCUCGGAGUCGCUGCUGGCCCAUCUGACGACAGGCCAGAGGGCAGGAGCACUGGGGCGCAGGGUCACCUUAAAGGCAGCUGGCAGAGGGGGCUCCCUCGCAAACUACACACCCCUCCCCCUAAUUGAAUAUGCAGCAGUUUGCUGCAGAUUUUUGCACUAUGCUUCGGUUUUGGCAGCAACCUCUCUUUUGGGGGGGUGGGUGGGGGAAUGCAUGUUUUCCUUUGUUUUUGUUUUUUCCUUUAUCACACACAGAAAACCACCUCUCUGCCAGGCCGAACCUCCACUGAGGUCUGUAAAAGUUUAUGUAAACAAUGAGGUAAAUACAUAUGCAUCUUUUUAUAGCCACACUCGGAUCAAUAAUCAUUCAAAUGUGCUUUGGUUUAAAAAAUAGUUUGUGGAUUUGGGUAUGAGCUUUUUCUUCUGUAGUUCUUUGUACAACCUCGCAACCAUUUCAGAACAUAAUGUGUCAUCAACAAAAAUGUAGACUUGUGUUAAGCUGCCUUGCCUUUGUUAAGGCUCCUUGUGUUUGAUGAAAAAAGUUUCCAACCCCUUUUUUUGUCUUAAAUAUGAAACUAGCGUUUUGUUUUUCCCAUGAUUAAAAUACAGAGAAAUCCAUACAAUACUAUGUCUUAAAAAUGUAGCUGAGAGUCCUACAUUCACAGAUGCGGAACAAUCCCUGAAGUAUUUGAGCAGUAGUAGUAGAAUGGUCACAGUUUGAAGUUCUUAGUUUUUCUUCUUUAUGCCGAACAAGUAAAGCAUUCGACUGCAGCUGCAACGCUCCUUUCUUGCAGCAAUGGCUAGUGAUCGUGUUUUCAAAGAAAUAAAAACUCCAUUGGCAUUACAGACAUUACACUGUUCUGCCAGAGUGCUGCCAAAUACAUAACCUUUGCAGGCAAUGCAUUGUGGACACGAUAAUUUUGAAGCCAGUAAAAGCUCACAAGCAAAAUAUUACAUUUUGAAACCAGGUAUGGUAGAGGGUUGGGAGUGUGAAAACAAAAAAAAAAAUAACGAUAAGAUGUUCCAUGCAAAUCACUAAGCAGUAACUGCUUUACAGCAAGACAUCAACAUAAGAAAGUAACAUUAUUUUGGAGAGUACAGGAUGCAGGUACCUUGCAACGGUUAGUGGUGCUUGUUUAGCUGUAGCUGCAUCCCUAGCAUAUAAAACAUGUCACAGACCAUAACAUGAGGACAAAGAAGACAUAGAAAUAAAAAAAACCUUUAAAACCAACAUAAUAGAGGAAUGCCUAUACCAAAAAUGUGUAGAGAAUGUUCAUGAUCCAUAUUGUAACUAAGAGUUUAGAUACACUGGACAGAUUCGGGGGAGCAGAAUCCCCAUGAAAUAGUGAACUAUGGAUACAAAUAAUGCAACCAUUUUGUUUGAUAUUGGCUGGUUAGUCAGUAAAAUAGAUUCUGCAGUAAACCAACGAGAUGUCAAGCUGUCCAGUGCGUCUGGCCCUCUUCUUCAUUACAAGUUUUCACAAGUCUUGCUCAAAAAAACCAAAGAGCAAACUUGAACUUCACAUUGAAAUUUUGAUUAUAUUGUCCAUCUUUUUUUCUUUUUAAUUUUUUGGUCUGAACAGAAAACAUACAUGUCAAUAAGUCCUUGUUUAAGUCAGGGAAUAUAAUGUGAUAAGGACUCUAGAUACAAAGGAAAGACAAAACAUGCUCAAAGACCAUGUCUUCAACUUUACAGUUUCCUCACAUUGUAAAGUUUACAUUAAUUACCGGCCCACCAAUCAGCACAAGCUUUCCUUGCAAAACACUCUCAUUGGUCAAAAUUCCAUCAAGGGAGGAUUUCCUUGUCUGGACUUAAAAUAUAAUUCAUAAUUUGUUUUUUUCUUUACAGCAAAACAAAAAUAAACAAAACAAAUAAUCAAAAGUGAAAUAAUUUAGUAUGUUAUAUAUCUUAAGUACAUCUUUCUUAAUAACUUUGGUUAUGAACUUGUCUAGCUCCGUUUGUUAAUCAGCUCUCCUCAACAUUCGUAAGAUCUUUGGAACACUGUGCGUCUAAACUAACUAACACCUAUUUGCCCCAUUUAGGAAACUACAGUACAUUUUGAAGUGGGGUACAUUGAGCAGGGAACCCCAAAAAGCUAUCUGUAUGUCUGGACAAGUAGAAUCCACAGCUAGAAAAACAACAUUUAAAUGUGUAAAACCUACAAGCAUCAAAAACCUGUGAUGAGAGAUGGGCAGGUUAAAGCAUUCGGUGAAAAGUAACCGUAAUCUACAUUUUUUACAAUUAAUUACAUCAGAACUUUAAACUAAUCAACAUUGAGUUUGUAAGAAUAAUCAAGAGGUAGCGAGGUCACAAGCCUAUUAGAAAUAGAGCUUUUUUUCUGAGGGAAAGGAGGAAAGCUAUACAGACAAUCAAAUUAAUCAUAAUCGUACCCACUGAACACCUUGUUCAGUCUAACCACACCCGGUCAACCCCAC
ensembl:lncRNA